AUACUUACCUGGCAGGGAAGACACCAUGAUCAGGCAGGUGGUUUUCUCAGGGUGAGGUGCAUCCCCUGUACUCCAGGUGUGCUGACCCUUGCAAUGUCCCCAAAUGCAGGAAACUUGACUGCAUCAUUUGUGGUAGUGGGGGACUGCAUCCCCGC
rnacentral:snRNA from 1 species